UAAAGUACAUAAGAGCGCACAGGUGGAUACCUUGGCAUCACAGGCGACGAAGGACGUAGCAAGCUGCGAUAAGCUUGGGGGAGCUGCUAACAAGCGAUGAUCCCGAGAUUUCCGAAUGGGGCAACCCACGUACCGUCAUGGGUACGUACUUCCUGAUGAAUUCAAUAGUCAGGAUAGAGCACACGCGGUGAACUGAAACAUCUAAGUAGCCGCAGGAACAGACAUCAACCGAGAUUCCCGUAGUAGUGGCGAGCGAACCGGGAACAGCCUAAACCGUCUACGUGUAAGCGAUCGGGCGUUGCGUAGUCGGGGUUGUACGACAACCAUCUCCAAGCUGAUCUUUGGGGCAACAGUUACAAAACGAUUCGGAAUCAGAAGCCGGCUGGAAAGCCGCACCAUAGAGGGUGAUAGUCCCGUACGUUAAUCCUUGUCGACUGUUGGAGUUGUUCGUGAGUAGGGCGGGGCACGAGAAACCCUGUCUGAAGCUGGGAGGACCAUCUUCCAAGGCUAAAUAUUCUGUGAUGACCGAUAGUGAACUAGUACCGUGAGGGAAAGGUGAAAAGAACCCCCGAAGGGGAGUGAAAUAGAAUAUGAAACCGUGCGCUUACAAACCGUGAAAGGCCCAUGCGCAAGCAAGGCUAAUCGCGUGCCUAUUGAAGAAUGAACCUGCGAGUUACGUGGUACGGGCGUGGUUAAGGUGUUGAGCCGGAGCCGCAGCGAAAGCGAGUCUGAAUAGGGCGUUCGUCCGUAUCAGUAGACCCGAAACCAGGCGAUCUAUCCAUGAGCAGGUUGAAGCAUGAUUAAACUCAUGUGGAGGACCGAACCUGUCGUUGUUGAAAAAACGUUGGAUGACUUGUGGAUAGGGGUGAAAAGCCAAUCGAGCCUGGAGAUAGCUGGUUCUCCCCGAAAUAGUUUGAGGACUAGCGUUGGGAUUUAAAUCACGGGGGUAGAGCACUGACAGAGCUAGGGGGCUUACCGGCUUACCGAACUCCAUCAAACUCCGAAUACCGAGAUGAAUAUCCCAGCAGUCAGACAGUGGGGGAUAAGCUCCAUUGUCAAAAGGGAAACAGCCCAGAGCAACAGCUAAGGUCCCUAAUAGAUGCUCAGUGGUAAAGGAAGUCAUGUCGCAUAGACAACUAGGAGGUUGGCUUAGAAGCAGCCACCCUUGAAAGAGUGCGUAAUAGCUCACUAGUCGAGUGAUGUGGCGCCGAAAAUGUAACGGGGCUCAAGCAUCUAACCGAAGCUUUGCGAUCGAGCAAUCGAUCGGUAGGGGAGCGUUGUGGCGUAGGCUGAAGCUAGACCGUGAGGACUAGUGGACGAACCACAAGUGCGAAUGCAGGUAUAAGUAGCGACAAAUGAGAGUGAGAACCUCUCACGCCGGAAGUCUAAGGUUUCCUGAGCUACGUCAAUCGUCUCAGGGUGAGUCGGGUCCUAAGCCGAGGCUGAGAAGCGUAGGCGAUGGCCAUGCCGUUCAUAUUCGGCAACCACCGAUGUCCGUUCGAUUUCCAUCAUGCCAUACCAACCACGGGUAAAACCGGGGGUUGUUAUCGUUUGAUGGCGAUCGUGAAGUGAAGGGAUGACGCAGGAAGAUAAGUCAGCACCCUAUUGGAUGGGUGUCCAAGCAGGUAGGCCGUAACAUAGGCAAAUCCGUGUUGCAAGGCCGAGAUGUGAGUGCGAGAACCUUCGGGUUUGAAGUGAUUGACUCUACGCUGCCAAGAAAAGUCUCUAACGAGGUUCAUAGGUGCCCGUACCGUACACCGACACAGGUAGACUGGCAGAGCAUGCUAAGGCGACGGGAGAACCCCUGUUAAGGAACUCGGCAAAUUAACCCCGUAACUUUGGGAGAAGGGGUGCCCCUUUUAGUCUGGUCUUUACGACGAAAGCUGAGGGGGGUUGCAAUAACAAGGCCCAAGCGACUGUUUAACAAAAACACAGGUCUCUGCGAACGCGAAAGCGGACGUAUAGGGGCUGACUCCUGCCCGGUGCUGGAAGGUUAAAGGGAGAGGUUAGCGCAAGCGAAGCUUUGAUCUGAAGCCCCAGUAAACGGCGGCGGUAACUAUAACCGUCCUAAGGUAGCGAAAUUCCUUGUCGGGUAAGUUCCGACCUGCACGAAUGGAGUAAUGAUGGCCACACUGUCUCCUCCAGAGACUCAGCGAAGUUGAAAUGUUUGUGAUGAUGCAAUCUCCCCGCGGAAAGACG
rnacentral:rRNA from 1 species